CCUGCUGUCUAUUGUGACCUGGCUGAAGAAGGGGCUUGGGUGGGAACACACUGGCAUCAUCGGCCGAUGGCUAGCAAGGACCGGGCUACCCGCAGCCAUGCAGUUGAGCUAGGGUGGGAUUUCUCCACCAGUGAAGUCGUAGGACACUUGGAGCACCAGCUAGCACCCUGACUGCUGCUUCGUGAGACAUCUAAGCCUGCACCAAGCCCUGCCCAAGCAGGUCCAGAUUCCUAACCCACGGGAACUAUGAAAUAGUUUAAGUUGCAAUUUUGGUGGGCAUUUGACUAUAUAACCAAAGAUUUCAGAUUACACAGACUGAAGAAAAAUACUGGCAGCAGGUUUGUAAACGGAAAACAGAUUUACCAAUCUCUCUGCAUUACUGCUUAUCACUUGCAAACUCCAAACUCCUCUAUCAUCUUUUAAGUUUGGUUUCCUGGAAUAUGAGUAUAUCUGAAUCAUGAAGCCUUGCCCACCUGUGUGAUGAUGACGCACAGCCUGAAUACUGUGUGGUCCCUAAGAAAACUGGGAGUAGAGUCACACAUGACUGCUUAUCUCCAGACCAUUUUACGUGAAUAAACUUUUAAAAAAUAAA